UACGUAGGGGGCAAGCGUUGUCCGGAUUUAUUGGGCGUAAAGAGCGUGUAGGCGGUUUGGUAGGUCCGUUGUGAAAACUCGAGGCUCAACCUCGAGACGCCGGCGGAAACCAUCAGGCUAGAGUCCGGAAGAGGAGAGUGGAAUUCCUGGUGGUAGCGGUGAAAUGCGCAGAUAUCAGGAAGAACACCCGUGGCUAAGGCGGCUC
rnacentral:rRNA from 1 species